rnacentral:rRNA from 1 species
AGAGUUUGAUCAUGGCUCAGAUUGAACGCUGGCGGCAUGCCUUACACAUGCAAGUCGAACGGCAGCACGGGGGCAACCCUGGUGGCGAGUGGCGAACGGGUGAGUAAUACAUCGGAACGCGUCCUGGAGUGGGGGAUAGCCCGGCGAAAGCCGGAUUAAUACCGCAUACGAUCUCUGGAUGAAAGCGGGGGACCGAAAGGCCUCGCGCUCAAGGGGCGGCCGAUGGCAGAUUAGCUAGUUGGUGGGGUAAAGGCCUACCAAGGCGACGAUCUGUAGCUGGUCUGAGAGGACGACCAGCCACACUGGGACUGAGACACGGCCCAGACUCCUACGGGAGGCAGCAGUGGGGAAUUUUGGACAAUGGGGGCAACCCUGAUCCAGCAAUGCCGCGUGUGUGAAGAAGGCCUUCGGGUUGUAAAGCACUUUUGUCCGGAAAGAAAACCACUUCUCUAAUACAGAGGUGGGAUGACGGUACCGGAAGAAUAAGCACCGGCUAACUACGUGCCAGCAGCCGCGGUAAUACGUAGGGUGCGAGCGUUAAUCGGAAUUACUGGGCGUAAAGCGUGCGCAGGCGGUUCGCUAAGACCGAUGUGAAAUCCCCGGGCUUAACCUGGGAACUGCAUUGGUGACUGGCGGGCUAGAGUAUGGCAGAGGGGGGUAGAAUUCCACGUAGCAGUGAAAUGCGUAGAGAUGUGGAGGAAUACCGAUGGCGAAGGCAGCCCCCUGGGCCAAUACUGACGCUCAUGCACGAAAGCGUGGGGAGCAAACAGGAUUAGAUACCCUAGUAGUCC